rnacentral:rRNA from 1 species
GGGGGAAUAUUGCGCAAUGGGGGAAACCCUGACGCAGCGACGCCGUGUGAGGGAAGAAGGCUUUCGGGUCGUAAACCUCUGUCGGGAAGGAAGAACCCCUCGGGUCCCAAUAGGGCUCGAGGCUGACGGUACUUCCAAAGGAAGCACCGGCUAACUCCGUGCCAGCAGCCGCGGUAAUACGGAGGGUGCAAGCGUUAAUCGGAAUCACUGGGCGUAAAGCGCGCGUAGGCGGCCUUUUAAGUCGGACGUGAAAGCCCUCGGCUCAACCGGGGAAUUGCGUUCGAUACUGGGAGGCUUGAGUCCUGGAGAGGGUGGCGGAAUUCCGGGUGUAGGAGUGAAAUCCGUAGAUACCCGGAGGAACACCGGUGGCGAAGGCGGCCACCUGGACAGGUACUGACGCUG